rnacentral:rRNA from 1 species
UACAGAGGGUGCAAGCGUUGUUCGGAAUUACUGGGCGUAAAGCGCGUGUAGGCUGCAAUCUAAGUCAGAUGUGAAAGCCCUCGGCUCAACCGAGGAAGUGCAUCUGAUACUGGGUCGCUUGAGUGUCGGAGGGGGUGGCGGAAUUCCCGGUGUAGAGGUGAAAUUCGUAGAGAUCGGGAGGAACACCUGUGGCGAAGGCGGCCACCUGGACGACAACUGACGCUGAGACGCGAAAGCGUGGGUAGCAAACAGG